rnacentral:sRNA from 1 species
CAGAGCAGCCACAACAAACAACGUCAACAAUGGAGCCGCCUAUAAAAUUCACAUGCGAGCGUGUUUAAUGGAGGCCCAGCCCACCGAAACGGAACCAGCACACAGGUUGUAUCGUGUGCAGUGAGGGGCAGUAAAAGUGCUGGAAAAUGAUGCGCACGUGACAUCCGGCAAGGCGUCACGAUGGUCAGGUGGAUUGCUGGCCAAGGGCUGGGUUGGCCAGGCCAAAAGGCACAAAGUGAAAAAAAUCUGCCAGCCAGCCAGCUAACUGACAACAACUGGAUCAGCAGAGGACCAACAGCGGGAGCAGCUAGCACAAAGGCCAGCAAACGAGACACACAAGCCAAAAGCAAACAAAAGCCAAAAAAUUAUGCGCUAGUCGCAAGACGCAGUCGGCUCAUUUUCCAUUUGUUAGUCAGCUCACAGGAGCUAACAGGCAGUUGAGUACUCUGCUAUGGAACAUAAUGUGCAGCCAGGGCAUGUAAUUUUAUACAAGCGUGUGAGGGGGCAGACUAUCUACUAUCUACUAAGGGAAGGAAUCUCUGAAGAAAACCCCUUUGAAAUCAGGUGCAUGCAAUGAGGUUAUGAAGUUAGGGUAUACAAACUUCGUUACAAUAUUGUGCUUUUCUAAAGGAAGCAUGGGUUUGAAAAUGGGAAUGAAAGCCUGGGCAGGCGCUCAAGAAAAUUAGUCGCGCUUUUGCGCGCUCGUCGGAAAAUAAUAAAAACUGAAGUGUAAAUUUACUUCCGCUGCAAAAAUGUGGGCGCAUGCUGACAGCUGCUGGUUUGGGCGUGGAUGUAGGCGUGGGCAUGCCCCAAAGCGUCGAGGUGGACGCUGCAACUUUUUCUAAUUAAGCGUACGUGCGACUGUCAGCAACAUCACGAGCCACGACCCCGGCUACGACUGAGGCAAAGACAGC